UACGGGGGGAGCAAACGUUGUUCGGAGUUACUGGGCGUAAAGGGUGUGUAGGCGGUUCUUUAAGUUUGGUGUGAAAUCUCCCGGCUCAACCGGGAGGGUGCGCCGAAUACUGAGGGACUAGAGUGCGGGAGAGGAAAGUGGAAUUCCGUGGUGUAGCGGUGAAAUGCGUAGAUAUCAGGAGGAACACCGGUGGUGUAGACGGCUUUCUGGACCGUAACUGACGCUGAGACACGAAAGCGUGGGUAGCAAACAGG
rnacentral:rRNA from 1 species